rfam:Brassica napus, WGS project CCCW01000000 data, contig: 19012
GUAAUAUAAGAUACGGUUUCUUAAUUUUUAACUGAAAAAACUAAGAGACGUCUCUUAAAUAAGAGAUAUAAAAAACGCUUUUUAGUUUUUUUAGUUAAAAGCUAAGGGACUGUAUCUUAUAUUAC